rnacentral:rRNA from 1 species
UGAGGAAUAUUGGACAAUGGGCGCAAGCCUGAUCCAGCCAUGCCGCGUGCAGGAAGACGGUCCUAUGGAUUGUAAACUGCUUUUGUACAGGAAGAAACACUCCCUCGUGAGGGAGCUUGACGGUACUGUAAGAAUAAGGAUCGGCUAACUCCGUG